rnacentral:piRNA from 1 species
UCGAAGGUGACAAUAAGUUCACACUCCGC